CAGCUCCCAUCAGAUCCCACCAGACCCUAUCAGAUCCCAUCAGAUCCCACCAGACCCUAUCAGAUCCCAUCAGAUCCCACCAGGCCCUAUCAGAUCCCACCGGAUCCCUUCAGAUCCCACCAGAUCCCAUUAGGUGCCACCAGGCCCUAUCAGCUCCCAUCAGAUCCCACCAGAUCCCAUCAGUUCCCAUCAGAUCCCACUGGGUGCCACCAGGUCCCACCAGAUCCUAUCAGACCCCACCAGAUCCCACCAGAUCUCACCAGACCCUAUCAGAACCCACCAGAUCCCACCAGGCCCUAUCAACUCCCAUUAGAUCCCACCAGGUGCCACCAGGCCCUAUCAGAUCCCAUCAGAUCCCACCAGGCCCCACCAGAUCCCACCAGAUCCCAUCAGAUCCCACCAGGCCCUAUCAGAUCCCACCGGAUCCCUUCAGAUCCCACCAGAUCCCAUUAGGUGCCACCAGGCUCUAUCAAUCAGCUCCCAUCAGAUCCCACCAGAUCCCAUCAGUUCCCAUCAGAUCCCACCAGGCCCAGUCAGAUCCCACCAGGGAUCCCAUCAGGUGUCACCAGCCCCUAUCAACUCCCAUCAGAUCCCACCAGAUCCCAUUAGGUGCCACUAGGCCCUAUCAGAUCCCAUCAGAUCCCACCAGAUCCCAUCAGAUCCCACCAGAUCCCA
ensembl:lncRNA